rnacentral:rRNA from 1 species
GCUCAGGAUGAACGCUGGCGGUAUGCCUAACACAUGCAAGUCGAACGAGCUUUUCGGAGCUAGUGGCGGACGGGUGAGUAACGCGUGAGAAUCUGCCUCAAGGAUGGGGACAACAGUUGGAAACGACUGCUAAUACCCAAUAUGCCUAAGGGUGAAAUUUUUUAGCCUUGAGAGGAGCUCGCGUCCGAUUAGUUAGUUGGUGGGGUAAAAGCCUACCAAGGCAGCGAUCGGUAGCUGGUCUGAGAGGAUGAGCAGCCACACUGGGACUGAGACACGGCCCAGACUCCUACGGGAGGCAGCAGUGGGGAAUUUUCCGCAAUGGGCGAAAGCCUGACGGAGCAAUACCGCGUGAGGGAGGAAGGUUUUUGGAUUGUAAACCUCUUUUAAUAAGGAAGAAGAAAGUGACGGUACUUAUUGAAUAAGCAUCAGCUAAUUCCGUGCCAGCAGCCGCGGUAAUACGGGAGUGGCAAGCGUUAUCCGGAAUUAUUGGGCGUAAAGCGUCCGCAGGCGGCCUUUUAAGUCUGUUGUCAAAGCGUGGAGCUUAACUCCAUUUGAGCAAUGGAAACUGGGAGGCUUGAGUGUGGUAGGGGCAGAGGGAAUUCCCGGUGUAGCGGUGAAAUGCGUAGAUAUCGGGAAGAACACCAGUGGCGAAGGCGCUCUGCUGGGCCAUCACUGACGCUCAUGGACGAAAGCCAGGGGAGCGAAAGGGAUUAGAUACCCCUGUAGUCCUGGCCGUAAACGAUGAACACUAGGUGUCGGGGGAAUCGACCCCCUCGGUGUCGUAGCCAACGCGUUAAGUGUUCCGCCUGGGGAGUACGCACGCAAGUGUGAAACUCAAA